CCUGUGACUGGUGGGCCAGGGACAUAAGUACAAAGGCCCUUUGUCAGUAUUAGCUUGGAGUCAACCCCUUCCCAGCAUUAGAACUCAGUUGCCCCUGCUUUCUAGUAGAGAUUCAAUAGUUGGCUGUUUCCUCGAUUUCCUGUCCCAUAACUAUUCUGCUGGCUGGGAACAGAGUAAAGAAGGUAGUUACAUCAAUCUCUCUCUUCCCUGGUAGGGCAGGUUCAGGCUGACUCUGUUUCUUUUCCCUUCCUAGAAUCAUCGCAAUGAUGAGUCCAGAGGACAGCUGGGUCUCCAAGUGGCAGCGAGUCAGUAACUUCAAGCCGGGUGUAUAUGCAGUGUCGGUCACUGGUCGCCUGCCCCAAGGAAUUGUACGGGAGCUGAAAAGUCGUGGAGUGGCCUACAAAUCCAGAGACACGGCUAUAAAGACCUAGCAAGAUGCAUGGCUGCCAGCAUCUUUGCUCCCCACCUCCUGCCUCUGCUUAUUUUUUUGUUGUGGAACUAAAUGAGCAGAACCGCGGAUAUUCCCUACCCUCCAAUUCUGAGACUCGGCAGACAGACCCAGCAGAGCAGCACAGAUGUCCUUGGACCAUUUUACCUUCUUUGGACUACUGGUGGGGGUAGGAGUGGUCAGGGUUGGUGGGUUAACAGAGACUGAAGUCAGUGGGUAGUAAGAAGUCAGUGGCUAUGCCCUUGCCCAUGGAUAUGACUCUGGGUCAAAGCCAAUAAACGAAGCCCUAGGAAAGCCCACGACAGAUGCCUUGCCUCCCUCUUCCUUUUUCUUUGCUGGGCACAGUAAGAAACUCAUUUGUCCUGGAAGCACUUUGCCAGAGAGGCAUAGGCCCUUCUGUUCCCAUCACCUGUUGCUGAGCCUCCAGGCUUGUAGCCUUUCUAAGGUACUUCCUUGAAUCUUGUUGGAAGGUUCUUCUGAGUCUGGGCAACCCCAUCAGCUUUGGAGUUGCAGCCUUCUGGCCUCUAAGACCUGGCCAAGUAGGUAUCCCUUGAAGAACUACUGAGGCUUCUUGGUACUCUGCCUCUUGACCAUGUUUAAUACUUUAUGCCCCUUGUCUCGCCUCUUCUUUUUACUGAUCUUCCUACACCUUGGGCCAUGCCAUCCCUCUCCCACUUACCCUCAUUCCACCACAUUCCCCUGCCUGGAGACCCUCGGUGGCUGCUGGGUCUUGGUCUGGCUAGCUUGUGCCUCCAUAAGAUAUGGACCCCUCCCUUUCUCCUCUGCCCUAUUAGGGGGUCCUUGAGUGAUGUCAUGUUAUUGGCCAAGGUGAGUUAUUGUAUUGGAAUUAAAAAUUUACCAUAAAUUCUCAUUUGCUUAAAUUUCCACAGGAAAUCCUGUUAGUGUCCCCAUUUUGAUUUCCCUGUUUAUUCCCUAUCUGUAAAAUGAAAAUGAUUACAUUCUUUCUGCCUUUUUUACCUCAAGAUUGGUUGUGACAAUAUACAAAAUUUUAUAAAUUCAAUUUUAUAAGAGG